rnacentral:rRNA from 1 species
AAUGAACGUUGGCGGCGUGGAUUAGGCAUGCAAGUCGUGCGCGAAAUGUAGCAAUACAUGGAGAGCGGCGAAAGGGAGAGUAAUACAUAGGUACCCACCCCCGGGCCUGGGAUAGCGGCGGGAAACUGCCGGUAAUACCAGAUAACGUCUCCGGACCAAAGGUGUGAUUCCACCUGGGGAAGGGCCUGUGGCCUAUCAGCUAGUUGGUGGGGUAAUGGCCCACCAAGGCUAAGACGGGUAUGGGGCGUGAGAGCGUGCCCCCACUCACUGGGACUGAGACACUGCCCAGACACCUACGGGUGGCUG